UUUUUUUUUGGGUGAAAAUCUUAGGUGCAGCAGUGACUCUAUUUUUCAUUUACCAUUAUUUUUUAUUCUGAAACACUAAAUAUAUCAUAACAACACUAAUAGAUCAAAAUUGAAUCUGAAAUAAGAAAAAAAUACAUAUAAAUCUUUUUUUAUGCCCAAUACAAAUAAGAUAAUCCACUAUGUGAUUACCCUCAUGAUAAAUAUGAAUAAACUCAAUCUCCCAUCCUCUUUAUCAUCUCAUGAAUCUGAUUCAUUACUGUAGUAAGCAAAAUGCUGGUGAAUUUGUCAUAACAUUUUGACAUAUCAACUACAAUACACAUCGAGAAUUAAAAUAUACCCGUAAUUUCUUUCCAACUAUAUUAAAGCCUAGCCCAUUGCUUCUAUUCCUAGAGAAAGCUACGAACAAGGGGUUUGGCGCUUUGUAAGUGAAGAACCUUAUACGACGAGUUUGGAUUAAUUAGCCUCAUUCUAAUUCCAUCAUUGUGUGUGUUGAUAACCUAAAAAUAUCGAGAUCGAAUUCUAAACACCAAACAUAUGGACAUGAAUGUAAAAAAACCCCUUAAAAAUCAUUCAUCUAGCUGAGUCAAAGUAAAGUUGAGUCUAAAACCCUAAUUACUUCUUUAUGGGCCAAAUAGGCGAAAACCCUAAUCUCAUCAGUAUUUUUCUAUUAUACUAACUACUCUUCAGUAUUUGCUUAUUGGCUUCGGCAGUUCCUUACGCUAGGGUUUCCAGGAAUUGAAUAGCAUCAGAGAUCAAAAUCAUGAUGAGCAAUCUUCCCGACAGGUUAAGCAAUCUUCCGGAUGCCAUCAUUCACCACAUCCUUUCGUUCCUCGACACCAAAUUGGCCGUCCAAACCUCCGUACUGUCCCGAUCGUGGAGGCACGUAUGGAAACAUCUCCACACCCUCAAUCUGCACGCAGACUCUUCCCCAAACUUGUUGAGUUUCGUCAAGUUUGUGGAAAUGGCUCUGCUUCUACGCUACGAACUCAAUCUCUCCAAGGUUAGGUUCAUGGUCGACGACUACUAUGCAAGCCGCUGGACUCAGAAUACGCUUGUGCUGACAUUGAAUUCGGUAAUCAGAUAUGCAUUCUCCAAUCACACUCGGCAUUUAGUCGUCAUCAAACGGACGGAAAUAAAUCCGAAUUUAUCCAAAUUGUUCGGCUCAGUCAUGGCUCUCAAUCUUGAAACCCUAGCAUUAAUAGGUAUCGCCCUCGAUGCAAGAUUCGGAUCUUCCCCUGCUCGUUUCCCAAUGUUGACCACAUUGAAUUUGACCGAGUGCAUGAUUUACUAUAAUCGGCCGCCCAAAGAAGAAGAACGGUUCGAUCCUUUCUCGAAAUUGAAAUUUCCUUGUCUGAAGCAUUUGAUCUUCAACAAUAGUUCCAUGAUCAAGAGCAGUUACAAUAACCCUUGUAAGAUACUAAGAGUUUCUGGACUUCAAUUGCUUAGCUUGAAACUCUCCCUUUAUGGAGUCUACAACCUUGAAAUAUCCGCUCCCAAACUCGAGUCAUUCGCUCUUUGCGUCGUAGGGAAACCCAUGGGGUUCCCGGAGCUGACUCUUCCUUCCCUCAAACAUGCUGAUAUUUAGAUUACCUGCGACUCCUCCGAGCUCACCGAAAACAGCGAGAAAUCGGUUGCACAAAAUUUCGUCUCGUUGUUUCAAGGAAUCUCUAACGUGAAAUCUAUAAGGUUGCGUUACUGGACCAUCAAGGUACCUACCCAACUUUUCUAAAGUACCAUCCUAGCUACGACAUUACAAGUUAUACUCAGAUCGAUCGAUAUUAACGUUACAUUUUUUCAUGGAUUUUUCUCGUAUGUGCAGGCACUCCUUAGAAUUUAUGGAUCUCUGGAACAUCAGCCUACUACUGCCUUUACGAAGCUGGAGCAUUUGGAUGUGCAGUAAAAACAUUACCUCGCAGGAUUUUCAAUUACUUUCUUAAAGGAUGCUUGGUUACAAAGCCAAUUAUCAAGCAUUCAGAAUGGCCUUGUUCAAAAAUUAAAUCCCACUUAUUAAAACAAAAAAUUUAGGUUACAAUAUUCAUUUGUACUUUUGUCGCUUUUUUUCAUUCUCAUCUCUCAUUUGACUCCUUUCUUGUGAUAUCAGACGUUAGUAUAAAUUGAUAUGUGGUUUGUUUUUAAGAUUUAGAGUAGUAAGUGAUUUGGGGUGAUUUUGAUUGAUCGAAAUAUUAUGUUUGGUUAAUAAAAAUUAAUGGGAUUUGAAAAUGAUUUUAAAUGACUUUGUGGUCCCCUAUGUGAUUUGAUAUCCACUCCAUAGAUAUAGUAUUUAGCAAAUUUGAAGUGAUUUGAGUAGGAAAUUACAAAAAGACACAUAUUUUGGAGAGAAUUAAAAUCGCCCCUUAUUUCUCAAUUGGACUCAUAAAUGAAAACAAACAAGUGACCAAAUCAAAAAGAUUCACCGUCUUAGGACGGAUGCCCUAGCGCCUCCUAUCUCUUACUCCUUCAGUCAAUACCUAGCCACUAUCUACAAUGAAUCCGACAACACCCUCCUCAUCCAACCCCAACUCUGAAUCCUCCUCACCUCCGCCGCAUCGUGCUCCACCAACACCAACAUCAACGAUACCUCGAUCGUCUGGAGGCCUGACUGGAAUCUGGGGAUCACGACCACCAUCCUCGUUGUGUGGCGGUCCACCAGCGACGAGCCGGAGUGAAGCCGGCAGGGCAGGCCAUCGGUUCCGCUCACGAGCUGGAUGUCCGACACAUGAUCGACAACAGACCAUGGUUCUUCGACAAACACAUUCUAUUAUGCACGAACUGAUCCAGGGAGAAGAACCAGGGAAAGUUCCGCUCCAAAAAGUCGAUUUGAGGAUCCAGGUCCAUAACCUGCCGCACAGGUUUUUUCCAGAACCGGUGAGACGAGGGUUGGCCGACUCUGCGGGCUCCAGCGUGCCUUACGAUGAGAAGAACAAGAGGUUCUCCCCCACAGCCAACAUGCGCGUUCUGACCACCUUGGACAUACACAAACCGCUGCUGAAGGAGAGGCCAGUAUGCCUUCACGAUGGUACAAAAAUCAUAUGUAAGUAUAAGUAUGAACGGUUGUCACCUUUUUGUUACAUUUGUCGUUUUAUGGGACAUGUUAAGAAGAAGUGCCCACUCCGUUUCCAAUUCCCGAAGACCGAAUUCCCUUUCUGCUGAGAUGACUCGAUCAAGGCACUGUCAUGGAGGGAGCUCAAAGUACAACAAACACCCCAAUGGAGUAUCUCUACUAAGGCUUCUCAACACCGGAUCCAACCGGAGAUGCAAGUGGAAGACACAACAAUCGUGAAGACACAGAGAGAUUUGGAAAUAGAGAUAUCCACGAGGAACACGGGGCAAACGAGCAGUGAAUGAGGAAUUAUAUUAUUGCUGUGUACACACAGGAGGAGGACCCCGAGGAGGAAAGGAGGCUGGCGGAGUGUAAGCGUCGUCGCUGUGAACUGUACAGCUCGGAGCCUAUGAACACAACAAAUACUACAGUGCUGAAAGCACAAGAAGUCCUUGAGAAACUCGGUUUGGGAGUAAUUCCAAAACUCACAGCCGGCCAACCAUAGACGGCCGGUUAGCCUAAAUCGGUGGAAGGAUAGGAAUGCCAUAAUACUAGCGAUGUAGUGAAUGCAAUAAGGACAUGUUGUCCAAUAGAUAGGUUUUACGGGUGUUUUUAACGUUGCAUCUUUGAAUUUGACUUUCUUGUGUCGUUGAUCACGUUGUCGCUUAUCCGUGGACAGGAGAGAAAGAAUUGAGGUUCUUGUGUACAAGGACCCACGAUCCAUACAGUUUUGCUUGUGAUGAUAGCAUCUCCGGUUGGACACUUGUACAAUCGAUUUGUUGGUUUAAAAAGAAUUGAAGUGGGAAUUUGUCAAAAAAAAAACAAGUGACCAAAUCAACCGAAAAACACCAAGACAAAAUCAUUCCUCAAAUAUAAAAUUCAAAUAACAGUUCUUCAAGAUCAGCUACUUAAAUAGGCGAAAACCCUAAUCCAAUUUAUACGUAGUCCUCAUCGUCUCUGAUUCUUAUUAUGCUCUUUCUAGGGUUUCCAGCAAUUGAAAAUAUCAGGAAUCAAAGUCAUGAUCAAUCUUUCUACCCAAAACAAGAGAGACGUCACUAGCAAUAUUCUUACCGACAGGUUAAGCAAUCUUCCCGACUCGAUUAUUCACCACAUUCUUUCGUUCCUCGACACCAAAUUUGGCGUCCAAACCUCCGUAUUGUCCCGAUCAUGGAAGCAUGUAUGGAAACAUAUCCACACCCUAAAUCUGCACGCAGAAUCGUUCCCAAACACAUCGAGUUUCGUCAAGUUCGUGGACAAGGCUCUGCUUCUACGCUACGAACUCAAUCUCUGCAAGGUUAGAUUCAUUGUCGACAACGCGUAUGCAAGCCGCUGGAAUAAGAUGACGCUUGAGGAACGAGCAUGCGAGGUAAUCAGAUAUGCAUUGUCUAAUCACACUCGGCAUUUAGUCGUCGUCAACCCGGAUAUCAAUUGGAAGUUCUCCGAAUUGUUUAUCUUGGACAUGACUUGCAAUCUGGAAACCCUAGAAUUAAGACGUAUCACCCUUGAUGAAAGAUUCGGAUCUUCCGCUGCUGGUUUCCCAGUGCUGGCGACUUUGAAUUUGAGCGAGUGCUCGAUUUCCUUCUCCUCCGUUGAAGAAGGGUUUGAUCCUUUCUCCAAAUUUCCUUGUCUGAAGCACUUGACCUUCAACAAUAGUUUCAUCCAGGGGAAUUACAGUCACCAGUGUAAGAUAUUUAGAGUUUCUGGACUUCAAUUGCUUAGCUUGAAACUCGGGCUUUAUGGAGUCUACAAGGUCGAAAUAUCCACACCCAAACUCGAGUUAUCAACUCUCCGCAUCGUUGGGAGACCUAUGGCGUUCCCGGAGCUGACUCUUCCUUCCCUCGAACAUGCUGAAAUUCGGAUUAACUGCGACUUUUUCGAAUUUCUAACGUGAAAUAUCUAACGCUGCAUCAAUGUACCGUCCAGGUAUGUACACCACGUUUCUAAUAUACCAUCCUAGUUCCUGCAUUGCAAGCUAUACGUUUUUCAUUGAUGUUGCUCUAUACAUGCAGGCACUCCGUAAAAUUUACGGAUCUCUGGAACAACAACCUACUACAAUUGCGUUCACGAAACUCGAGUGUUUGAAUGUGCCGCACAGAAGAAUACCUUACAAAAUUGCCAAUUAUUUCCUUAAAGGAUCGUUGGUCACAGAACCAAUCUCAGGUAUUAACCUUCUGCUACAAUUCACAGGUACUUUGAAUAGUAUAUCUAACACUUCCAUGGCUGUUUUCUCACCUGUUAUUUGACUCUGUUUCUCUCAUACAUUCUUUUAUUUGACUGAUCAAAUUAUUUGUGGCACAGGCUUUGAUUCACUAUGAUAUGGGUUACAAACUUACAAUCCAAGGCCAGUUUGAUUACCAAUUCCACCAUUUGGAUCGAGAGAGAUGUGUUGGAGAUGAACAAUUUUUGUAUGAUUAAUAAUAUCAAUGCAGUUUUAUAUUCAAUUCAAUUAUAUCGGACACAAACCAUCAUAUGAAUUGUUGGGUUGUUUGUUUUGUUAUUUGAUUAUGAGGUCGGAUAUUCAGUAUAAUGAGAAAGCAGUACUGCGGAUAGGGCUGUUUAUGAACUGUGGAGCCGAACUUUACUGUACUUAGACUUGACUCGUUAAUUUUUAGACGAGUUCAAACUUGACUCGAGCUAUAAAAUUUUGGCUUGUGUCGAGUUUGAGCUUAUUCGAGACUGACUCAUUAACUACCAUUGUCAAGCAAAACUCGAGCUCAACUUGAACUCUACUAAUUAAAACUCAUAAUGAGAGUUCAAUUUGAGUCGCAUUUGAAAUUUAUACCCUAAAAACUAUUGAUAAGUCAAUCUAAAAAAUAAGCUAUCCUAAAAUUUGUAAGUUUAUACAUUUUUUUUCUUGUAUAUGUCAUCUAAAUCAACACAUGUUACAAUAUUGAGUCUACUGGCGAGUCAUAUUAUCGAGUUAAUUAGUAUUCGAGUUGGCUUCCGAGUACGAGCCUAUCGAGUCGAACAUACCCUGACUCAACCUUGACUCGUUUGAAAUCGAACCAACUCACAAACGAGUUUUUCCCGAAUCAAACAUCGAGUUGCUCACGAGUGACUUGGUUCAUCAAAACCUUAGGUGGACUUGUGGUUAGUCUUUUGUCAUUUUAAAAUAAAAUCAUGAAAAAUACGAUGAAAUUGUAUACAAGAUGCAUUUACAUUUUUAGACGGUGAUCGAAUUUCUGAUUUCAGACAGUCACUUUGUAAUUAGUAUAACGAUGUUUAAUCUCUUUUUCCAGACUUGUACUAAUCAGUGGAUACCUUAUCAUAAAUGUACUUACAAGUGGUGAGGUGAAAUAGUGUCGACUGUAAUUGGCUCAUUAUUUCGAAUUAAACUUGCCUUUGGUUUUUAUGUUUUUGAAAGCCGAUAGUCUUUAAAAUACCUCACAGGGGAGGUAUAUUUGAAAUACCAUAAUAUUUCGACUAAUUUGAUCUUUUCGCUUGUCAAAUACCACAUUGAAUCAACUCAUUAAUCAAACAAGAUAAUUCCCACAUCACAAUCCUUGGACCUUUUAAAUACCACAUUCUCAAAUAACGCAAUCAUUUAGCUCUAAAUUAUCACAUGCAAAAUAACACAUCCAAACGAACCGUAAAAAAAGGGCAACCAUAACCUUAACCGACUGCAAACAACAUACUUGACCACAAAAAUGGAACCAAACAGUAGUGAGAUGAAAGUGGGAUCAAGAAAAGAAGAAGAAGAAGAAAGCUCCUCAGAGUAUGUUCGACCUUUUUCUCUACAAUGUUUUCUUCCAUACAUUCGUUCAGAAAUUGGAACGACGGACGAAAAAACUCAUCACAGGAGCUAUUAUUCCUUCUUCCUCAAUCUCAUUUACAGGAACACUUAGAAAAUAGUGUUCUGGAAAUGGAAGAGACACGUACAGGGCAAUCUUAGGGCAACAAAGAACACCAAAAGUGAUAAGAGAAGGGUUUUAGAUUGGUUCAGUCGAGUACAAUAGAGGGGGGAGGGGGGGGGGGUGAGGGGUAAAAUCACGCCGUGCANNNNNNNNNNNNNNNNNNNNNNNNNNNNNNNNNNNNNNNNNNNNNNNNNNNNNNNNNNNNNNNNNNNNNNNNNNNNNNNNNNNNNNNNNNNNNNNNNNNNNNNNNNNNNNNNNAUAGUACGGCGGGGGGGAGGGAGGGGGGGGGGGGGGGGGGGGGUAGAGGUAAAAGCACCCACGUGAGACCUGACUCAGGGAGAAACGAGAAAACUGAAAAAGCAUUAUAACCUGCAAGCAAAAUGAUGACCAUUCCAACUACUAACCUUCUCUGUUGAAAUCUCAAGCCAGAAGGCGGGCCGGGGGGGGGUGGGGGUCUCUUUUGGAGGUCUCCUUGUUUCCUUCCGUUUUGUUUUGUCUCCUUUAAGAUCUGUUCUUCUCCCUCCUAAAACUCCCUUCUUCAGUUCACACACCAACCCGUUAUUAAUGGGUUUCUGUCGGUCCCUCUCUACUACCCCUCACGUGCACAUAACUACAACCCUCCUGCAUUUCCUCCAUUGUCAACAAGACAACCUUUCAAAGACAAAGUUGGGUUUUACCUCUGCUUACGAUAGCCCACCGAGUCAUCAACUAUGUUAUGGUCAUGGUCCAGUAUUCUACGUCCUGCUCUCGAACAACAUUCAUACAAACCAAUGGUAAGAACAAAAACAGCAGUGAUAUUAUUAGGUCAUAGAACCAGGCAUUAAUACUAAGAACAGUAUCUAAUUGCUCCAAGUCAAAAUGGCAGCUGAGUAAGUUUCUGAAUAAAAAACAGAGCAUUUCCCAAAAAUUUCUAAUGAGGAAGAAAUGUCAUUUCACUACCCUCUCGCAAUAACUGGCAUGUCUGAACAUAAGUAUUAAACGAAUAUAGAAGGGAGUAAACGUUAAUAAAUGUGUCCACCUAGCCAAUACGAUCCAUUUGUCGCUUGUGCAACAAAUCCAGGAGCCAAAAAUACAAUGCUGGUAAUACAAAGUAAAGCAAUGUUAACCUGUUUACCAGGAUGUUACAGAAAACACAGAAAAGGCCAGUUCCACUUUUUGACUACCUAAAAAAAGGGCUCAGCACUCAGCCAGGGUAUCUGAGAUAAGAGCUACUCUUCUCACCAGUUAUGUACCGACUUCAACAGUAAAAAAAAGGAUAUAAAAGUAUAAAGCCAACUCAUCACUAGUAACGCCUACAAAACGAUUCCUAGAAAACACCACUUCAAAAGGAAGGAGGAUGAAAGAAUGAGAAGGAACUCCUCAUAAACAGAGCUAAGGUGCAGAAUCAAGUUGCACGAGCAGCAGAAGAGAUAGAAGCAGAUAUAGAGUCAAAAACAUUCAUGGAAUUAUCAACUAGCCAAAAGAGAAAGGUAGCUUCAUCAACUAAAAGGCACACCGAAAGCCAGCCAAAGGAUGGGGUCAUGAAGGCAGCAAAGGGAAGAUUUUACGUCAUCCGCCGCUGUAUUGUAAUGCUGCUCUGUUGGAAGGAGAAUGAAGACAAAUGAAACUGGUAAGCAUGUACAGCAGAAACUGCAAUCUCAUUAUACCCCAUAUGUAUGUCUGUAGCAAUCCUUUAGAGAUGAUAGCAAAACAGUGCUUGAAGAGGGAUUCAAAGAGAAACUUGUAUCAGAUGUUGAAAAGCAAUGAGAUACGAGUAACAUCAAAAUCAUUAAGUUUACUAUCUUCUUUCUUUCCAUUUCACAGAAACAUGUGCUAUUUCUGAGGCAAUCCCUCAUGUCCUGAGAACAACAUACGUCAAUCAUACCAAGGAUGCGAUCAUAUAGUUUCAUCAUUUGCACAUGCCAACCAUCUGACAGCAAGAAAAAUUACUCGAAAGGAUCGUGAAUGAAAUACGCAAUCUCUACCGUUAAACUUAGGAGACCAAACUACUUCCAUCCCCAGUCCCCAUCCUUCUCUCAGCAACAAAACUGUUUCAACCAAUGGCAUAAACAGUGAGACUAAUCCGACGAAUCAAGACUGCAAUGUAUUGCAACAUGUUAACUGACUUGCCUAGACACGCGAGCAAGAAAAGUAACGUUAUAAAAAUCAGAAGAAUUAUCAUCAGUAGACAAGCUGUAAGAUAUUAAUGCACCAUCCAUUGGAAGACCAACUCACUGUCAUAGUUGCUCUAGUCCUUUUCACCCUUGGGAAAAAAGUUCCCUUGAAUAAUACCCAAAACUUUGACCACCCCCACCCUAUAAGGACUACAAUCCACUUGUCAGCAAAUCCAUAACAGAUUAUCACUGACAGGCUAGCCAGCACUAAAUGGUAUGGUGGGGGAAGGGGUCAACAGUUCACAUUGCAGAUGCCAAGAUAUGCUAGUUUUGAUUAUCACAUUUGCUUUAUGUCUUCGAUAACCGAGCAUCACCUUUGUUAUGUACUUAUUCAUAAUCCAACGACAUAAAAGCCACAUACUUGAUAAUCAUAAAAGUCUAGACAAGAGCUACAUACUUGAUACAGCCUUUGGUGCACAUUAUAGGCCCCAUUCCUAAACACGCUAUGCAGGCAAAACAAUGUCUUCAAAGCCAAAUUCAGAAAACGUGAAUCAUGAGCCAGAACGGUUUAAUACACUCUGCCAGAACAUAAAUCUCAAUAACAAAAUAGCAUUAACUCCUCAUGAACAAUCCCACUAGAUCAAACGAAGCAAGAAAUACUAAAGGCAAUUUCUGCAUAUAAAGAAAAUAAUCUCAAGUGCCCAUAUAUCAGGAACAGAAUUCAUAUACACAAAGCAAAAAAAGAAGACACAAUUAACAAUCACAAUAACAGCUUGUUUUUUCAUUUGAACAUCCAAGUCCAAAUCCAAAUUACAAGGUGGGGGAUACAGGGGUAAAGGAAACAUCCAGUCAAAUGCCAAGAAGUACCGAGAUCAUCUCCGUCUGAUUGACGAGAUCAAAUCAGACCGGGAGCUCGUCGACGGUGCUGUGAGAAGAGGUGGAGUGAAGUCUGAGAGGGCGAACAUCGCCCUCAUCGUCAUCGUCGUCGAUAUCGGCGGUUUGGAUGUUGACGCAGGAGAAUCGCUCCAGAGAGGAGAAAAAGGCGGAUAUCACGGUGGUGCUAACCCAGCUGGCCAUGUUGUUUAUGCUGUCCACCGAGACGAUGCUCGCGGUGUCGUCAUUGGCUUCUUUGUUUUCCAUGGGUGGAUCAGAAGGAAUUGGAGGAAAAUUUUGGGGAAUUUUGGGAGAUUGUUGGGGCAGGAUUUGGAAACCCUAAUUGCUGGAAAAUGAAGAAAGAUCAACGUUGGCCGAUGAGCGAGAAUCGAGUCCCAUGUUUGAGAAAGGGUUUCAAGGCUUUUCCGUCUUUUUAUUCGUUUUUUUCUUCUGUUUGUUUCGUAUAGUAAUUUAAAUUCAGAUUUCAGUUACUUUUUUAAAUUUGCUCUUUGUUAGCAAUUAUUAGUUUAUCUCAAAUUUAUUAAAUUCACCAAAAUUGUCCCUCUAUUUUCCUGGCUAUUUUUAUUUAAAUGUAUCUGUAUGUGAUAAUUAUAGAGAGGAAAUUACAUUAGAUAGAAAAUUAUAUCGAACAAAAAAAUGUUGUAUAAAAGAGAAAAAAAAAGUUAGUGAUAUCUAGAUAAUAAAUAGUAUUAGGUGUUAUUAAAUAGACGAUAUAAUUUUUUACAAAUAUAAAUAAAAAUAUAAAAAAUAAAAAAAUAAGAAUGAAGAGGUCUAUGCGAUGUCUUGAAUACCAUAAUAUUUAAGAUAUUGUAAUAUUGAAUAAGAUUGGUAUUGAAUAAAAAAUUAUAAAUAUUUUUAUUUGACAUGAAAUAUAUAGUGGAAUUAUUUAAUUAUAAAAUUAUCAUUUUCAUGACCCUCUUUUUUUCUAUGAUCUUCCUCUUUUUAUUCCUUUUUCCUCUGUGCUUCAAUCAAUUUAAAAAAUAGAGACUUCACAAUUUUACUUUUUAAAAAAGAAUUGUGUUUGUGAAAUUGUGUGCUGAAAUUGUGUACUCUUUUUUUGUUUCCCUCAAUUUUUGCAGGAUCAAGAAGAGGAUCAUCAUCCCAUCAUAAAUUCUAUGGCAAGCUACGCUGCAACGUUCAGCUCCUGUUGGUUCGGAUAUCUGGUGUAGUUGUAGUAUACCGGCGGUGACGCUAGAGCCUGCGAGUAAUUACCGUUGUAUUUGUAAUUGGGUGUUGGGUAUUGGUAUUCACCCGAUAGGUAUGGAGGAGGGUAGAUGAUAGGAGGGUGUUGCUACUCUUGCGGGAAGGUUGGUGUUGGUGACGGCGGCUAUGGCUUUCACUGUUUGAUCGAGUUAUUCUAUCCCAGCAGCCAAUCACUCUUCGCUCUAUACAGAUUCGAAUCCAUGAAAUCAGAGAGAAGGCAACGAGAUAGAUUAUUGGAAACAAAUCAGAUAGAAUCUUUGAGAUAGAAGAAAAGCAGUUGUCGAUUUUGUCGAUUAAUAAGGGACAUUGAAGAACAUAUCGUCGUCGUCGAUUUAUUAAAGCAGAGAGGAAGAUGUCGCCAAUCUACUCUAGUCGUUGGAUUUAUUGGUCACCCAAUUUUUCUCUUCUCCAAAAUUCUUGCGGCAACUGAAAAAACGAAGAGAGAGACAAAGGUUGAAGUUGUGGGUAUAAUAAUGACAGACACCCACAUAAUGACGUGUCUCACCAAAUACAUGGGUAUUUUGGUCCACGCGAAAUGAUAUUAAAGGGUGGUAUUAGAAACUCUUUAUUUCGAAGAAUUUCUAAUAUCGUGAGUUUUGUGAUGUUGAUAUAUCGAAUACUAUGGUAUUUGCGCUCCAAAACACAAAGAUAUUUCGAAUACCAUGGUAUUGGGUGAUAUUGAAUUUAAUAUCACUCGUACCAAACGAUCCCAAAAUAUGUUGCAACAUUCAUGAAGAAGAUGACCCACCAUUAUAUCAACGGAAGAGGUGGCGCUUUUCAUUAACGUGGAGUCCUACGUGUCACUUUCCAAGGACGUUAAGCCUUAUGUAACACUAAAACGAUCCUCUGUUAUGUUAAACGGUUAAUGUAAAUGUUGAUGAGAUUCCGUUAAUUAUGUUUAAAAUGGUGCAACAAAAUGUAUUUUCGAAAUUAUGUACCAAAUCGUAUAUUUUUGGAAUAGAUUGGGUUGUUUUAUUAAAAAAAAUUUCUUGUCAAAUUUAUGUUUCUUUAUUCUUCCAAUUUCCCUACAGGUUUUCGAGAGCCAUCAACAAGAAAGAAUAAGAAGAAGAAGAAUGCACGCAGCAGAAGCAAGUUGUAGAUUUCCGGGGGAGGCGACAGAAUAAGCAAUCUCCAAGACUCCAUUCUUCACCAAACCCUCUCCUUCAUGACAAAAAGUCAGCCGUUAAAACCUCCGUCUUGUCCAAGCAGUGGAAAAUCCGCCUGGAAAAAUGUUCAUGCUCUCAAUCUGGUUUCAAUGAAUAUUCGAGGUACGAAAGGUUCGUCGACAAUGUCAUGUCCCUCCGCCAUUCUCUUCAUCUCAGUAAGGUUUUGCUAUUAUGGAACCUAAGUGCGUGCCCUGUCCAUCCUGAUGAGUUUAGUCUCAUCAAAAGGCUUGUCCAAUAUGCUGUCUCUCAUGGUGCUCAAGAUUUCAGCAUUCGACUGAGGAUUAAUUUGUACCUCCCUCUUCACGAAUUGUUUGACUAGCUGGACGAGCCAUUCUCUCAAUUUCCCUGUCUGAAAGAUUUGUUCUUGGAUGAUUGCUCAUGGUUGGUAAGCGAAGAUGAUCAUCGGAUUAGGGGAUCGAGGAUAUCCGGAUUUGAGCUGGUUAACUUGAGUAUCAGUCGUAUGAUUGUGUGGAAUUUUAAACUAUUUGCACCUGAACUCCAAUCUUUGGUAUUUUGUUCCGUGGAUUUCACAGAAUUCAUAGAGCUAACCAUCCCGUCCCUCCUUCAUGCUGAUAUUGGGUGCCGUCUUUUCAAUGCGGAUGAUGAUAUUGUCAUCGAAUCUGUUUCUCAUGUUCUGUGAUCUACAUAACGUGGAAUCGCUGAUGCUGGGCGACGAAAUCAGCGAGGUACACGCUUGUGUGUGCUUUACUACUACCAGGAGAUCUUUGUUUCUAUAUUGAGAUGGGUUCUACUUUGUGCAGAUUGUACUCAGGAUGUCAAAGUUUCUAGAGGAACAUCGUUUUCCUUUUACAAAAUUGAAGAAGUUAAAUUUGGAGUUCGACUCCAGCUAUGAUAUACCUUAUAAGGUUCUGAAUCGUUACUUUCUUAAUGGAUGUUCUAAUGCUAGCCUAAAUAUCCAGAGUAUGGAGGAUUCUGUAAUGAUUGAGCGUUGAUAUAACUUGUUAAUUGCAUAUUUUCUUCUUGUUAUUCUGUUCUUGUAAUGUAAUGCCCUUUUCCUACUUUCUGGAACCCAGUCAGUUGGCAGAGCUUUCCUCUGGUUUAUUUAACCUGCUGAGUUCUUGUUCUUUUUCUUUUCGAGAUUUUGAUGAAUAACAGAACAAAAUCGCAGCAAUGCAAACUUGUACUAUGCAACCAAGAUGGCCUAUGCUUGCUUGCUGGUAUGUUAUCUGUUCAUCUGUAUCAUAUGUUUAAUUCUUUCUGUAACUUAAGAAAUGAUGUUUACUUUGCACUUGUCGAUCCAAACGGAUUGGGUAUAAUUUGUCAUUUUCAAAUUUUAACUAUUAUUGAAGAUUGUAACAGUUUGUAUCAUCUCAUAUUAAAUCUGUAUUGCCGAUCACAGAUAACAUAUUUCUCACCCAAAAUAAUUUGGGUUGAUUCAACUCAGAGUUUCUUUUCAAAAAAAGAUUCAACUCAGAGUACUCUGUAUAAAUUAAUAAAUUUCCAUCCGUCACCUUUCAACAAGUUCCACUAACAGCCUUGUAUUGAAUUAAAUCACUAUUGAAACUUGAGUUUCAACCAAUGAAACAAAAAGAAGAUUUAAACCCCCAGUGAAGUAAAUUUGAACGGUCAUCAUGCAAACAGAGUCGUUGGACUUCCCAGUCUUUUAAUGCAAACAAUCAUUGGACUUCCCAAAUAAACUCUUGAGAAACUCUAUUAAAAGCCAUACACAUUCAUUCAUUGUCCUGCUAUAUAUAUAUAUAGUUUCUGUUUCUAAUCUUUCAACGUUUUUCUCAUUGUGUUCUGCGAGCUAUGACAGAAAAACAGGAACAAACAAUAAGAGCAAGAGCAGCAAGCAGCUAGGAUGGCUCCCGAAGGAGUUGACAGAAUAAACAAUCUCCCAGAAUCCAUGCUUCAGCACAUCCUCUCCUUCCUCAACACUAAAUCCGCUGUUCAAACUUGUGUAUUGUCCAAGCAGUGGAAAUCCACCUGGAAACAUGUGCAUUCUCUCAAUCUGGAGCUGAACUUUGAUGAAUUUUUGAGGUACGAAAGGUUUGUUGACAAUGUCUUGUCCCUUCGCCAUCCCCUUCAUGUUAGCAAGGUUUGUUGGUACACAUAUGCCUACUCUCACGGUCCUAUUGGUUGCGAGUUUAGUCUGUUCAGAAGGGUUGUCCAAUAUGCUGUGUCCCAUGGUGCUCAACAUUUUGACUAACAACCCUGUAAUAUUACUGAACCCAACAUAUCUCUUCUCUGAUUGUUUGACUACACCUGUGACACUGUAAGAACUCUACAAUUGGGUGGCUUUACCUCAAUCAUCUAUUGGCCUGUUCAGCAUUCCGGUUGCUAUCAAUGUUAAAGCUAUGUAAUUGUGGGUUCUUAGUCUCAGCUGCUGGCGAGCUUGUUGAGCCUUUUUCUCGGUUUCCCUGUCUGAAGGAUUCGGUCUUUGAUUAUUGCUUGUGGUUGGGGGUAAGUCAAGGUGAUGACCAAAAUGUGAGAUUGAGGGUUUCCGGACUUGAGCUGGUGAACUUGACUCUCUCAAAUAUAAAUGUGAACUUGCACCCAAACUCAAAUUAUUGAGAUUGUAUUUGGACACAUACAUGCAAUAUUCAGAGCUAACGCUUCCUUCCCUUGUUCAUGCUGAUGUUCGGAGCAGUAAUUGGCAUUCAAUGUAUGAGGUUUAUGAUAUUGACAUAGAGUCUCUGGUUUACAUGUUCCAUGGCUUACAUAACGUGGAAUCUUUGUCACUAUGUGGUGAUAUCUGCAAUGUAAGUACAUCUGUAAGAUUUACUUUUUCAGUUUCUCUAGCUGUGAACUUGUUUUGGUAUAUUGAUUUGGAUUCUAUGUAAUUUGUGCAGGCAGUCCGUACAAAUUCCAAGUUUCUAGAGCAACAGCCAUGUCCUUUUAUGGAACUGAAGAACUUAAAUAUAGAGUUUGACUCUAACUACGGGAUACCUUACAAGGUUUUGGAUAGUUAUUUUCUUAACGGAUCUUCUGAUGCUUCCCUAAACAUCCAGAUACGAGAGGAAUAUGAAUAUUGGGGAGAAGAGAUUAUUUAAUAUUUAUGAUAUUGUAUUGUUACUAUGCUGAAACGAUUCUUAAGAGUUAAAGCUAAAUUGAAGAGGUCAACGAUAUAGAGUAGUCCAUGGUGUCUGCAAUCAGAACUGUUAGUUGCAGACAAAACUUCUGUUCAUGAAAUGCUAUUUCACUAUCUUUUUAAUCAUCUGCAAUAUUUCGUGGAUGUAAUGUAAUGCUCUGUUUCUUAUUUCUGAAACCGACUCAGUAGGCAGGGCUUUUAUCUGCUUUAAUUUAACCGGCCGAGCUCUUGUUCUGUUUCUUUGUACAUUGAUGCUAUCUCUCUUAGUAACGAAGUUUCCGAUAUCAAAUUUUCAUUAGCUGUGGUAGAUUAGAUAAUUAGAUAAUGUAAACUUGUACUAUGCAACUGUGAUGGCGGCCUAUGUUUGCUUGCAGGUAUGCGUUGUCCCUGCAUAUGCAUCAUGGAUACACUCUUUAGAAUCAUCAUAUGGUUUGUUCCUCUUUGUAACUGGUAGACUUAAGGAAGUAUGUACCGGGUCGUUGAAUCUCCGAUUGUUUUGAUGGUCGAAAGUGUAACCUCCAUGCUCAACCAAGACAUGAAGCUGAUCAAGUGGGUAUGGAGCUUUUCCUUCCCAGGAACAAUGACUAUUUUCCAAUGUGUUGUUCAGACCUUCCUUGAUAGGAUUUGCUAAUUUGUUAUAUACCUUUCCUACACAUUGGCGUUGCAAUUCAGUAUCGAAGAUUGUAACCAUUCUUCUUUUUAUUUCUAUGGUUGGUUGAAACUCAAUCAAUGAAAUAAAAAGAAGAUUUGAACCCCCAAUAAAAGUAAUGUGAACCGUCGUCAUGCAAGCAGUCGUUGGCCUUCUCCAACAAAUUCAAAAACUCCAUUAAAAUCGAGAUAGAGAUUCAGUGCCCUGCUAUAUAGUUUCUGUAUCUAAUCUUUCCAUUUUAUCUCGGUGUUUUGUGAGCUAUGACCAAAAACAGCAACAUCCAGCUAGAGAUGACAGCCGGAGGAGGAGUUGGCAGAAUAAGCAAUCUACCAAGCUCCAUCAUUCACCACAUCCUCUCCUUCCUUGACACAAAAUCCGCCGUUCAAACUUGUGUAUUGUCCAAGCAAUGGGAAUCCACCUGGAAACAUAUUCAUUCUCUCAAUCUGCAGAACGUUUACUUCAAUGAAUAUUCGAGGUACGAAAUGUUUGUUGACAAAGUCUUGUCCCUUCGCCAUCCCCUUCAUGUUAGCAUUAUUUCUAUCGGUCCAUGGGGAGCGAGUUUAGUUUGCUCAGACGGGUCGUCCAAUAUGCUGUGUCCCAUGGUGCUCAACAUUUCAACAUUCAACCCAUUAAUAUUAUUGCACCCGAAACGUCUCUUCUCGAAUUGUUUGACUACAUCUGUGACACUGUAAGAACUCUACAAUUAGGAUGGCUUUACCUCUGUCGUCAAUCUGAUUUGUCUGCAUUCCAGUCGCUAACCAUGCUAAAGCUAUAUGGUACUCAGUUCUCAGUCUCAGCAGCUGGCGAACUCUUUGAGCCUUUUUCUCAACUUCCUUGUCUCGGUGAUUUGGUCUUGAAUAGUUGUUUGUGGAAAAGAGUUAUGAAGGUAAUGACGAAACAGUGAGGUUCAGCUCUUCCGACGGAACUGUGAGAUUCAGGGUUUCCGGACUUGAGUUGGUUAACUUGACGCUCUCAGAUAUUAAUGUGACCAAGUUAGAAAUAUUUGCACCCAAACUCUAAUCCUUCAGUUUGAAUUUGGACAAAUACAUGGAAUUCUCAGAGCUAACGCUUCCUUCCCUCGUUCAUGCUGAUAUUCGGAGUAGUUAUUGGCGUUCUAUGUAUGAUGAUUAAAAUGUUGACAUACAGUCUCAGGUUUGCAUGUUCCAUAGUUUACAUACUGUGGAAUCUUUGUCGCUAUGUGGUGAUAUCUGCAAUGUAAGUACAUUUGUAAGAUUUACUGUUUCAAUAUUUAUAGCAGAUGUGAACUUGUUUCGUUAUAUUCAUUUGGAUUCUACUUUCUGCAGGUAGUCUCUAGAGAUUCUAAGUUUCUAGAGCAACAACCUUGUCCUUUUACAAAACUGAAGAAGUUAAAUAUAGAGUUUUGGAUAGUUAUUUUCUUAAUGGAUCAUCUGAUGCUUCCCUAAACAUCCAGAUUCGGGAGGGAGAUGAAUAUUGAGGAGAUGAGCUUAUUUGAAUUUUUAUGAUAUGAUAUUGUUACUGUGCUGGGGGCAGAGCUAAUUAGUUUAUAAUAGCUGAAGAGAUGCUUAAGAGUUGAAGUUUAGAUUGAAGAGGUCAACAACCAUGGUGUCUCCAAUCAGAAAUGUUACUUGUAGAAAUGCCAUUUCACCAUCUUUGUGAAUAUCAUGUCGAUAUAACUUUUCAAUUACAUAUCAUAAUUUUUAUUCUUGGCAUUCCAUGGAUGUAAUGCAAUUGUCUUGUUGUUUCUGAAACCGACUCAGUUGGCAAAGCUUUUAUCUGGUUUAUUUUAACCUGCCAGGCUACCUGCGGCCGAAAUUUGCCGCCGGCCGGGAGGCUUGUCGGCCAAAUUUUCGGUCAGAUCGGGUAGUCUUUCGGCCGAAUUUUUUUUCUAUUUUUCAACGAUCUCCGUUAAUAUUUUUUCAGGUAAUCACAUUCAUCACAUGGUUUUAACGUUCAUUGAAUGCACUAACUCGUCAUGAGCAAUUCGGUAAGUGGUUGCUAAUUCUGUUAUAGAAAUAAUUUAAUUAAUACGAAAUUGUAUAGAUAAUUGAUAAAUGAAGCGUAUGUUUUGUGUGUUUAUAAUGUAGGGAGAUUCAUAAGUGAGUAAGAGUGACGGAAUCAAUUACACCGAACAAUUUUUAUCCGACAAUGUUUAUGAUACUGCUGAGGAAGCUUGUGAAGCUUCAAAGCGAAUUGCCCAGACGCUUAAUUUCAAGUUGACUAAGGGAUCCAACAAAAUAAACAAGGCAUAGCGAGAGUACCAUGUGUAUCUGUAUUGCUCUCGUAGACCUGCUCGUAAAUCCUCAUGUUCCGACCCGCCGAAACGGAUUACGAAGAUGAAGAAGUGUGACUGCCCCUUCAAACUGGCAGUGAGGUGUCAGGCCGUAGGUGGCGAGUGGAAGUUCUGUAUUAACGGUGUAGGCUACACCAACAAUCCUACAAUCUCAAAAGGAUAUCACAAUUAUUUUUUGUGUCAUAUCCCGAAGCUAGUAAAAGAAAGCAAUGCACUUACGAAUGAAGAAAACAGCGAAAUCAGGGACAUGCUUGCGACUCACACACAGCCGAACAAGAUCAGGUACACUCUGAACAAGAAGUUCAAUUCUCAUCACAAUAUGAAUCACAUAUACAACGAGUCGUAAAAGAUUAGAAAAGAAAAAUUAUGAGGCAUGAGUUCGACGAAUUGGACAUUGAGAGCCGCUACACGACUGUGGUACUUUGUUCAGUCUACAGAGGAUGAUGACAAAAAUCAGGCCAACCUUUUUCUCAGUCACCCCGAGACUGCUCAGAUGUUGGGAGCUUGGUAUUACGUCAUUCUAAUUGGUUCGACCUUCAACACCAACAAGUAUAUGAAACUAGUGAUCCAGUUGACCGGCAUGACUAUGGUGCAGAAGAACUUUAGUAUCGGAUCGUACUCGUUGAGAAUGAAAAGGCUGAGACGUAUGUUUGAGUGUUGAAUCAGUUGAAAACGUUGUUGGGCAAGCGACAACCAACGACAUUUGUGACUGACAAGGAGUGCGGAUUGGUUGUUGGGUUGCGAACUGUCUUUCCGAAAACGCCAUACUUACUUUAUGUGUGACAUAUGAAAAGGAAUACCGUUGUCAAAAUAAAGUUCAUCACGAAGAAAUAGGAAGUUGAUGAGUCUUUCGUGCAUGGGAGGUGGAAUAGAGUGCUGAACGCACUUUCCCAUGAAGAAUUCCACGAAGAGUGGGAACGCAUGAUCUAUAGUGAUUGGGCCAACAUUAGAGGACUGAUCCCGUAUUUAGAUAGUGAGUGGCUACCUUAUAAGACCUAGUGAGCCCAUUGCGGCACUAAAAAGGUUUUCCGGCGACACUAAUAAGGUUUUCCAUAUUGAAAACACGAGCACUAACAGGGUGGAAUCCCAAUACUCGUCGCUGAAGUCGUGGUACAACUCUUCGAAUCAGGCUGUUGAUACCCUAUUUGAGGGCUACCAUGCUUCUAUCGAUGGACAGGUCAUUGAGAUUCAGAAGGUCUUGGAUGACUCUUGCGGAAAGGUAUUUACACACUGUUUUCGUAACUAGUUACAUAUUUCAUGUGGCAAUAACUAGUUAUUUACACACUGUUGUCGUAACUAGUUAUGCAAAAAUCACAACUUGUUUUGUUUCAUUCCGCGUAUGUAUACCGUUAGGCAUAGAAACCACCAUUUGUAUAUCUCAAUAAUCCUGUGUUGGAGUGGACAAUUGAGCUUUUGACAGAGGAGCUCUCGAAGGUUACACCAUGUAACUGUGUAGUUGAGACAACUCAUGGAAUCUCGUGCGCUUGUAGUAUGUACUCUAAGGAGGUUCGUGAGGAGGAGCUAAAAUCAUACCACUUGCUUCAGUUUUGGCGUUCAUUGUCGUACACGCGCCCGGCAGGGCACGAGAUAUGGGCUGAGCAUGAUGCUGCUGUGAUGCUAUGGACCGCAACAUUCUCGAUGGGAUGGUUCAGACUAUUUGCGCUAGAGGAGGUCGUCUAUAAGGGCGUUGAGUCGAUUAGUUCGGUCAGCAUUUCAAUCCGAGUAUGAGAGGUUCAAAGAGCCUAAGGUUGUUGAUGCUCCUAAAGGUAGACCUCGUGCUAGAAAGAUUGACAGUCGGAAUCCUUCUUGGCAUGAGCAUGCUAGUGCGCAUCGUACUCCUCCCAAAAGCAAAGCUAGCUCGACUCGAUCUACACCUUCAAAAACUUGCUCGACUCCAGGCGUACCACUUCCCCCUAGAAGUAUGUUAAAUAGUAUAUACAGUUUCUGCAAUCUCGUUUACUAUAACGUUCUUACUCAUGUUUUUUUGGCCUUUUAAAGUUUGACCGUUUCGGUAGUACAUCCUAGAGAAUUUGCACGGCGUGUUGAGUGACGUGUUUAACCCACGCGAUGAUGGACAUUGUGGAUUUAGGUGCAUUUCAUAUAUAGUCAACCCCGACGACGAUAGUCAGUAUGUGGACAUGCGGAGACAGCUAAUGGAACACGUUACGCUGAAUUGGUACGAUCUCUAUAGUAACGUGCAUAACACGUUGAACGGCGUCAUUCACCGGUUAGGUUGGCUCUGGGAGACACCAUGUGAUGAUCCAUGAUGAUUUUGAAACGUGGAUCUACUAAGGUAUGCCACUAUAUUUAACUGGACAUUCGUCGUUUUUUGACCUGGCUUGCGAGGGUACCGUAUGGGGUGACAUACCACCCGCUGACUGUAAAAGAGGGCACAAUGACACCUAGAGGUGUGUCGUACAUAGUGUGUACCGGGAACAACUAGGUUGUGCCAACUUGGGUCUUACCCACCGAGCACAACCCAGUGGUUCCCGGUACACACUAUAUAUGACACACCUCUGGGUGCCACAUUACCGCGGAUGACUCCAAACAGAGACUUACUCGGGAUGGGUAAGACCUAGAUGUUAUCAUUAAGAUAUUGCAAGAUUUACAGGCUAAUGUGUCUAGUGUCGCGGUAAUGUACGGGCUACUCAUUUUUUAGAAUUCUACGUAAAAACACAUAAAUUAAGAUUGUACAGUAUUCAUGAUCUAACUAUGUCUUUUAUUAGUAACAAAUAUGUCUUUUUUUUAGAAUUUUUCAAACAAACAGUACUUUAGUUCAUCCAACGGGCCGAACACAAUCUAAUAUAUAUAUAUAUAUAUAUAUAUCACUAUAUCAUGUUUUUAUUCUUGGUAUUCCAUGGAUGUAAUGUAAUGCUCUUUUUGUUCUUUCAUUUGGUUCAAUGAAUUCUUCUUGCCAAUGUGUUGUUGAGAAGUUAAGGAUGAACGGAAUAGACCUUCCUUUAACAUGAUUGCAGUAAAUGGCUAAUUUUUCAUAUACCUUUCUAACACAUGCAAUUCAACAUAUUAUCGAAGAUUACAACUGUUCUUUUUAUUUCGUUGGUUGAAAGUCGACCAACAAAAUAAAAAGAAGAUAUAAACCCCAGUAACGUUAAUGUGAACCGUCAACAUGCAAGCAGUAGUUGGACUUCCCCAACAAAUUCAAAAAAGUUCAUUAAAAGCCAGAUAGAGAUUCAUUGUAUACUACUAUAUAGUCUCUGUUUCUGAUCUUUCCAUUUCAUCUCAAUGACCAAAAACAGCAAAAUAGCCAGCUAGAGAUGACAGCCACAGGAGGAGUUGACAGAUUAAGCAAUCUCGCAGAGUCCAUUAUUCACCACAUCCUCUCCUUCCUCGACACUAAAUCCGCCGUCAAAACAUGUGUAUUGUCCAAGCAGUGGGAAUGCACCUGGAAACAUGUUCAUACUCUGAAUCUGAAUCUUUACUUCAGUGAAUUCGAGAGGUACGAAACCUUUGUUGACAAUGUCUUGUCCCUACGCUACCCGCUGCAUGUUGGCAAGGUUAUAUGGUCCACAUUUUCAUACUCUGACGCUCCUGAUGGUUGCGAGUUUUAUCUGCUCAAAAGGAUCGUCCGAUAUGCAGUGUCCCAUGGUGCUCAACAUUUCUGCUUACAGCCCAGAAAUUAUUAUGAACCUCAUAUUUCUCUUCUCAAAUUGUUUGAUUCCAUCCCUGACAUUGUACGAACCCUGGAACUAGUGCGGUUUGACAUCGAUUGUCGACCUGUAUGUUCUAGAUUCCAGUUGCUAACAACAUUAAAACUGGUGAGUUGUCGGUUCUUAACUGAUCGAGAGCUUUUCGAUCCUUUUUCUCAAUUUCACUGUUUGAAUGACUUGGUAUUGCGACAUUGCUCGUGGGAAAGUGAAGGCGGUGAUCACCGACCUGUGAGAUUGAGGGUUUCCGGACUCGAGUUGGGCAGGUUGAGCCUCUUAGCCAUUAAUGUGUGGAAGCUGGAAAUAUUUGCGCCCAAACUCAAAUAUUUCAAAUUGUCAACUCGCGAAAUCAUGGAGUUUUCGGAGCUAACCCUUCCGUCCCUUAUUCAUGCUGAUAUUACAAACCAUUGGGGAUAUAGUGACGAUAGCGAUUAUGCUAUUGACGAAGAACAUCUGGUCAUCAUGUCCCAUGGCAUACAUAACGUGGAAUAUCUGACGCUAUGCAAAGAGAUCAAAGAGGUACGUGCAUCUGGAUGCUUUGCUACUUCUAGCCAAUGAUCUUGUUUUUAUAUCGAGUCUGAUUCUACUUUGUACAGGAAGUCCGUAGGAAGUCCAGGUUUCUAGAGCAGCAACAUUGUACGUUUGCGAAAUUGAAGAAGUUGAUCUUGAAGUGUGACUCCGACGAAGACAUACCUUAUGAGGUUAUGAAUCGUUACUUUUUUAACGGAUCUUCAGAUAUCCAAAUUCGGAAGGCAGGGAUUUAUCAAGUUGUAAUAAUGCAACGUUUAUCUUGAUGUAGUCUUAUGGAACAAUUUGUGCAUUUCCUUACUGUCUUGAAGUAGAAGUUGGAUGAGGAUCGGUUCGAUGUAUUAUGAUGAAUAUUCGUACAGAUUGGGAUCGUUGAUUUGAAUGUUUUAUGGUAUGAUAGUUUAACUAUGGUUUUUGGCACAGCUGCAAAUGCCCUUUUUGUUCUUCUGAAACUCAUUAAAUCAAGAGCAAGCAAUAUCCGCUCAAUCAAAUAAGGAUAUUGAUAUUGUGGAAAGUGCAGUAUGAUCUCAUUGAUUGCAGGAAGCUAAAUGAAGGCAGAAGAUCAAUUGUGCAAUGGCUACUUCACAAAGUAUGAAAACACUAAAAAAGAUGAGUGAAGUGAGAAAAUCUUGUCUAAAGUCGUUGGUGCUCUGCAGAGUGAACUGCUGGUGUAGCUUCAGAGUUGGAGCUGAUUAGUGCAAGAUGUUGAAGCUUUUUGGUGUCAAGUUUCAGUAUUGAACUUACUUUCAACACUCAUCGUCACUUCAACAUCAACAUCAACAUCAACAUCAACAUCAACAUCAACACUAGUAGAUAUUAAGCCUUUUAAAAACUUCUGAUCUACCACGUAGGCUAUUCUCCUUCCUCUCUGCGUUUCACUGCUACUGACUGGUCUGCCCAACUAUAUUAUAAAAAGUGUUAAUUUCUCCUUAAUCCCAGAUUAGUUUAUCUAUGCAAUUAAGUGUUUAUAUUUAUAAUUUUUUUAAAAUCGAUCAUCACAUUAAUUUCUUCACUAAUUUAGAGAAAUGGAAUGAAUUCAAUCAUUCAAAAUAUGGAUCGAAACAAAUUUAAUAUCUUUGAGUUACAGAGAUUAAAUUUGUUUUAACUUUUAAUCAGCAAUAUUUACUAAUUCGUAGCAAUAGUUAAGGUUCUUCGUAUUCUCUCCAAUUAGGGUAAUUAUUCAUGGUUUCUACUAAAUUUUGAAGUUCUUAUUUCUGUUAAAUCAAAGUAGGUUCAAUGAUAGCAUUUUAUUAUCCUCCCAUGAAACAGAGAUUGAAUGGCCAUCGUCGCAAAUUCAAUGGAAGAGAAAGCGACAUAGCUGUCAUAAUCAUCCAUUGAUGGUGAUAAAGAGUAGUUUCCAAUGUUUGGCUCUGCACCAGUAGUUUUCAGCGUAUCAUUGCUUGCAUCCUGAAGCUGAUUGGUUCUACACCAAAAGUUAAUUGAGUCUUGCUCAAUUGCCAGAAGCCUAGAAGAUGGAUUGUGCUACAAUUUCUUCACCUGGAACUCCUGGAUAUAAAGAAUUUGGUUGUCUUUUAAGAUUAGGAAAAUUAGGCUUUGUAGUAGUUGUCUUUCGAGAAGUUCGAAUGAUUUGGUUGUCAAGUUUCGUCCUAUGUUUUCUCGCUCUCGUCGCAAUUCUUAGCGAACAUCUGACAUGGAUUUGAUUUGAUUUCGUAUCAUGUGUCUGCUGCAUGUUUGAAUUCUUUUGGGUAUACAAUGACUUCCCCUGCAACUGCAAUGGAGAUGGGUUGGUCUCGAUUAUUUAUUUAUUUAUCAAAUAUCAUGUAAGCAAAAUGAUUAGCUAUCAACAAUUCAACAUCGCCAUUGACACUGGAAUAUCGGUCUGUUAAUCAUUAGCUGUUCUACCAAUUGUUAUAGUUUGAAGUAUAUGGAUUAAAAGAUGUAUAAAAUAACCUACUAAAUCGUCCUUAAAAUUUCAAAAUCAAACGAUCCCUGGGCCCUCUAAUUUGCUGGGAGAAGGAAGAAAGAAUCUGCAUAUUUCUUAUAAACUUGUUUUGCUGUCCCCUCAAUUUUAGGGUUCAUACAGCUGGAAUAUUUUUUACGUUAAUUUGAGCAAUGAAGAACAACAGUAGUAGUCCCUGCCUGCAGAGAGUCGACAGGUUAAGCGAUCUUCCUGAUGCGAUCGUCGAUCAUAUCCUCUCGUUCCUUGACACUAAGUCAGCCGUGUGACUUCAUCGUUAUCCAAACAAUGGAAACAUGCCUGGAAACACGUCCAAGUUCUCGACAUUCGUGCCCAACACGUAGGGUUUAACUUCGAGCAACUUGAGAGUUAUGUCGACAAGGUAUUGUCCCUCUGUAUUCCUGAUCUUAAGCUCAGCAAGGUCGUCCUACAUGCGAAUAAUAUGGUAAACAAGGGGGAGCCCAAAAACACUCUAGUUCGAAAAAUCAUCAAAUAUGCAUUGUCUCACGACACUCGACAUGUAGCAAUUAACUUGGGAUUUUGGUCCUACAAUGGCAUGAGCCAAUUCGAUGUCAUGUUCGGCUCUGUCCUCGAUUGCAAUGUAGUCGAAACUCUAGAACUAACAUCGUUUAAUACCCUUGGUAUUGGAUUUCAAUCUUCCAGUUUCCGGCUGUUUACAAGGCUAGAAUUGAAGAGUUGCUGGAUUGCAAAUAUAGAUGAUGAUGAUGAUGAUGAUGAAGAGGCUAUUAUUGAGCCAUUUUCUAGAUUUCCAUGUCUGGAAAGUUUAUCCCUGACUGAUUUCGAUACCAAUGAUGAUGAACUUGUGAUAUCCGGGCUCCAAUUGCUUAUUCCAGAUCUUGAAGACAACGAUUUUGACAAGUUUCAGAUACACGCACCGAAACUCAAAUGCUUCAAUUUGGUUGAAACUUGGGAGAUCCCAGAGUGUUCACGGACUAUCCUUCCUUCCCUCGAGCAUGCUGGUAUUUGGGCUGGUAAACACUUAAAAAGAACGGACAACACAACCUCAUCUCCAUCCUCAAUGGACUCAAGAAUGCCAAGUCUCUUCAGUUGGGUUCCUUUACUAUGGAGAUGAUGAGUCAUGAUAUGGAGGUGCUACAACAACACUCAUGUCCCUUUACAAGGCUGCAGAGUUUGAUCUUCGACACUAGCAAUGUCGUACCAGAUACCGUGCUCAACUACUUCAAAGCUUCUUCUAAUAUGAUUCCAGCAGUUAAUUUUGUGACCGGGCGCAUUAUUACUUGAUGAUGUUGUCGUGAUCUAAAUCCAUCUGUUUAUUUAAUUUCUAGCUUUCUGUUUUCAUCUGAUUCAAGAUAAUCAUUUAUACUAUGCUACAGUACUGCCCUUGCUUUUUUAUACUAGGUUUGAUGGUCGCGUGAUACCGUGGAAAUUUUAUUCGACAUUGAUGUGACUAUACUCACUCAUAGAUUAUGAUGUGUACUAUGCUACAAAAACUUGAAUAUCUCUAGUCUCAUAUCCUUUUGAAAUUUUAAUUAUAAGAACAACGAUAUAUUAUAUUAAGAGAAUUUGAGAAUCGGGAUAGAGAGAGAAAGUUAGUAGUGGAGAAUAGAAGGGAGAAUGUACAUUUCAAAGUUGGUAAAUUGACAAUAAUAAGAUGAACAGAUUAACAACUAACUAUGUCAAAUAAUUUUAUUGCGUAUACCAGACCUCCAGCAAAGCCUAGCCUCGGAAUGGCGGAACACCUACCAAAGCGCACCCACAUCGAGAGCUUACCCACCAUGCUCGCUUUGUUUUGGUUCAUUUAUUUGCAGUAGAAUAGGAAUCAUGUACCCUAUGGUUUCUAAAAUAGUGGUUUGCUGAUCUCAACCAUAUGCAUAUUGUAAUGUUAUAUAUGCAGAUGAAUUCAUUGAAAGCAUGAUCAGAACAGCUGCGUAAUACACUGAUUCCGAACUCUGAAACAUGGAAGACAUAUAUGUUGGCUUUGUUUGUUUAGUCGGUAAAAGGAACAACUUUGAAAUAGUGCUGACAGAGAGACAACACACAGACGCAGACAGCAACGCUAUUGAACACAGGUUUCCGCAAAUCCGAACUAUAAUCUCAUAAUUCGGCAAAGUUGUGGUGGGUACAGACUCCGACCAAACCAGCACACUUAAGAGUGGAGUAGCUUCUUGUAAUCCUGGAAUGUCCCGUGGAAAGGUGAUAUCCUUCCCUCGGAAACUGCCCAGAGCUCGUCCACACUUCCGGAGAUCAGAUGCUCGUCGUGACUAACCUGCAAAGUGUGGAUUGCGCAAAAUGUGAUCAAAUCUUAUGUUCCAAGCAGGACGUGAAAGAUAUUGCACGAUUUUUAGGAGCCUGUAACUAUUAAGUACCAUGACAAUGCCUCCUUGAAAGAUAACAAGGCCUUGGAUUAACGCCUCCACUGCAUCCAAAUCCUACAAUUUCCGAUUGCAAUAGACUUAGCAAGCAAGGAACCAACAGUUCUAUUCUAUACAAAUGAUUGGAAGUUAAGAACAUUCUGUACUGAGUAGGGUAUCAACUUACAAGAUGAUUGGACGGUUCAUCGAGUAAGAUCAGAUGUGGUUUCUUGAAAGUAAUCUUUGCAAAUGCAACCCUACUCUUUUGACCACCUGUUAUAUAUCCAGUACAGAACGACGGGGCAGAUAGGAGCAAUGAGAACAUAUGCAACAUAGGAUAAAAGCAUGCUUAUGGCGUUCGUAUGACAUAUCAUCUACUUAAGAAGUAACUAAUUCGAAACUGCUAUGUCUUGAUGAACUUAGGUCGUAUAGCAUAACUAGAGGCAAUCAGGAAUAAAAAAUACAUACCAGAGAGAGUGUACAUGGGUUGAAGGGCAAGGUUUCCGGUCACACCAAAAGAACCCAAAUGAGCUCGUAGCUUCGGUUCGGGUACUCCCUACAAGUCCACAUACCAAUUAAACGGCCUGGGAUCAGAUACUUACCAACAGUAACGGUCCCCCCUUAAUGGGAAAUGAGAACCAAUUAGAAGAAACUAUUAGAGGGAUUAUAAGUUGCAACAUGAGUAUAAUAUUGUUGUUAAGUACUUACAGGGAAGCAGCGCAUCAUGUACAAAAGGGGAUUGGAAGACAGGUCCAGUCCAUCAACGUGAUGCUGACUAAACACAGCAAUACGAACCUGAGGGGAAAAGCUUUACACUGUUAGCUUUGACAUUGAAAUAUGCAAUCAUGCAGGCUACAUAAUAAUUACCGAGUGUUUAAAAGGUUUAGUGGGGUAACUUGGUACAAAUAAAGCAACUACUACUGUACAUAAACGAAACUAUGCUGCCCCAUUAAGGUCACACCUUCGCUGAAUGGAACACGGUACCCGAGCUGGGUUCAAGAUCUCCAGAGAUUAGUUUGAGUAUUGUUGAUUUUCCAAUCCCAUUGGGCCCAACCACUGGAUACAUCAGGGAAAAGUAAAUCAAUCAGAUAGUUAAAAUUUAAUCAACACUAGAAGAUUAUGAAACCACAUUCCCAUGAAGCAGUGGGCUCAUGAUUGAAAACAAUCAACGGCCACAGCAAGAAAUAUAAAUUACAGUCAUGAACCAUAAGAAUACAACUAGGAAUAGAACUCUCAUGAAGUGAAGGUCCUUACUUGCAAUGCGGCUAUCCAAAUCUAUACCAAAAUUCAAGUUCUUAAAUAAUAGGGGGCCGCCUGGAUAACCAAAUGAUGCAUCACUGCAGCCACAUGAAUGCAAACACCAUUGAGUGAGCUUGUGACAUGCUGAAUAAUUUGAAAUGAAGGUAUGCUGACAAAACUUGAACUAACUUGAAACUUAUAAUAGGUGGCCCGGGUCUAUCAUCUGGAGUGGGAAACUCAAACUUAUAGCUGCACACCAAAAAGACAGCCAACAGAUUGCAAAUUCAGUGAAGGCCAAAAGAAAUUUUAAAAAGAUAUGAAAGAAACAUGUGUAAAAACAGUUUGAAACACAAAAGUGAUAGUUGUCCAUACUCAGGAUCAUUUACAACUUCGUCCACAUGACCAAUCCGAUCUAAUGCCUGAAAGAGUAAACAAAUUAACAUAGGCAUAUACUAGCUGUGCAUUCAGUUAUUAUUCAGACAGGAAAAAUGUCAGCACCUUGAUUCUCGACUGGACAAGAGAUGCCCUCUUAGCAUUAUAUCGGAACUUGUCAAUAAAGGUCUGCAGAAUGAAAGUGAAUAGCAGUCCGUUAAAAGUGGGAUUUUAAAAGAUUCAUGUCAGAAACAAGAUGAAGUAGCUCAAAUAAUGCUAUUCUAAGUGCCAUUUUCUAGUAACUUCAUCAGUUUAACACCACAACAAAGUCAUCUAGAAAGAUUCCUCAGCAUUGGAACCACCAAACAAGACUAACAUAGCAUCAAAAGAAUUAUUAUCAGUUGAUUUUACUAACAUUAGAUAUUAGAACACGGAAACAAACAAAUGGUUCAGCCAUUGGCAAAUACCUGCAUAUGGGCUCGCACUCGUUCAUUUGACUCAAAGGCUUUUUGUUGGUUCUUAAGCUGUUCAGCUCGUGUCCUCUCAAAUGUAUCAUAAUUACCUUUGUAACAGGUCAGUUUUUGAUUUUGCAAGUGGAUAACAUCUGUGACCACCUAAACCAGGAAACAAAAAGAAAAAAGAUGAAGAAGAGAGCAUGGAGCUGUUGUGAUAACAAAUUGCUCUUAUGAAGCAGAAGACAAGUAUUACCGUGUUCAGAAAUUCUCUAGCAUGAGAUACAACAAGAAAUGUCUUUGGCCAUUUUACCAGGUAAGACUCUAACCACAGGACAGCAUGAAGAUCAAGAUGAUUCUGCACCGAAUAGGAUCAUGAACUAUAAAAUACUACUUUCAAGACGACUAUAACCACAACAUAAAAGUAUACAGCACCGUGGGUUCAUCAAGAAGCAACAGGUCAGGUUCAAUGAACAGGGCACGAGCAAGGGCAAUUCUCAUCCUCCAUCCUCCUGAAAAUGUUUUUGUUGCCUUGUGUUGCAUCUCUGAAGUGAAACUGAGUCCCUGUAAAGUUUCAUAAGACACAUAAGGACAGCCGUUCACACGUGGAUCACACCAUCUGGCACCCUAUUCCUUCUUUCACGUUCAUUAAUUUAUCUUGGGCAACGGACUGCCAUUAUACAUGCAAUUCGUGUAUCUGUUAAGUUCCGCUUUAAUUCUUGCCUCAGACUUAAAUAGUCCACUUAAUAAAGAGUAGAAAACUGACCGCAAGAAUGGAAGCAGCACGUGCUUCAGCAGAGUAAGCAUCAAUAAACUCGAGCCUUUUGUAGAUUUGCUCAAGUCUCCCCGACAUUGCAUCUUUGUCAAUUACCCCAUUAGGGUCUUUUCCAUUCCCAAGUGCAUGCUCAACCUCUAAUUCUCUCUUUAGGAUAAUGGACAACGUGCCAGCAAGAACACAAUAUAAAAAGAAAUAAAGAUGUGUGACAUUUGUCAUUCCAAGGGAAAACAAAAAUCACCCUUACCUGCUGUGCAAGUAUGCGAGCUUCCUCAUCCAGAAGCUGGGUUCUUUCAAUAUCAGAGUUUAGUACACAUUGUAAAGCUGUUGUAUUGUCUCCAACUACUUCUUGCUCAACGUGUAGAACUUGGCAGUUUGCAGGAAUACCAGCAAUUGCGUGCAUGGCCAUGUGCCUCAAAAAAGUGGUUUUCCCAGUACCAUUUCUCCCAACAAGUCCUGCGCAUAGUAUUACUCGGUAUUAAUAUAAGGAAACAAGGAAAUUAAUUGGUUGACAAGUACUUUCCCUUCAUCCUCUUAUUCAAUGUCAUACAUGCUUGUCGUGUAAUUUUCACAUUGUUAAUGCAAGUUGGACAUAAGACUCACCGUAGUGUCUUCCAAAAGAGAGAGUCAGUGAACCAUCAACAAUAAGAUCACGACCACCAACGGAAAUAUUGAAAUUGUCCAUAUGAAGAUCCUUGACAGUAGGUCCACCACUAUUAUCAUGAUUUACAGAUACAGGAGGCAUCCCAGCUCUUACUGCUUCCAUUUCAGAAAGAUGGACUUGAUAUUGUGCCUGUAUAAACAACAAAUUUCAGAAAGAAAACACACAUAUGAGCAUAGCAGUACAAUUAUGCAAGAAACAAGUACAUGCCACGUAAAUGUAACCCUGGCUUAAUCUGUCAAACCAUGGUAACGAAGGCGAAGUAUAGAGUAACGAAACUAGGAUAAAAAAUUCACUAAAUUUGGUUACCUCUCGCUGCCGCUCGUCCUUCCUCUUUCUCCUUUCUAUCUUCAAUUUGUCACGUUCAGUCAACAAAGGACCAUCUACCGGCUCAACCUUCUUCUUAGGAGCUUCCUCUUCCAUCCCUUCAUUCAUUCUAAAAGGUGUGGUCAGACUUCGCACAGUCGGUUUUGGUUUGGCCAGUCCAUGCUUUCCAAACUUCUCAGACAAUUUGCCACAGACCUGCCCUCAGUGAACAUACAGUUAGAACCAAGAGCAUCUAUGUCCAAGCAUCAAAUCACAGUACCAAGGAAUAAAUACAUAGAUCCUUCAGCAGAUAGUAGCUCCAAUAACGGAAUAUCACAGAAAAAAAAUUCAGAAAUGUAUGGUCGUGGCAGAGAUUAAAGUCGAAACAGAAUUUCAGAUUGUAGUCCUCGUUCAGCUUUCAACAUUCUUCACAAAUCAAUUUAUGUUAGAACGAAUUUCCAUUUCGAAUCACCUAACAUAUGUAGCUCAACCGCGAAUUAAUCACUCAAAACAGGAAGAAAUCAGCUCCAAUUCAAUAUCAAGCAAAACUAACACAAAGAUACUCCCAACCAGCAUAUAACUCAGAUAAUCGCUCACAAAAGAGUUACCUGGCGGCACUCAGGCAUAUCGGAAACGCAUUCAGCAGCGACGAUAAGCUCGCCGAGUGCUUGGAAAAUGCCCUCACCAUCUUCGCCGAAAUCGAAGUCCUCAUCAGCGAGCACGUUAACGAUGUAGUCGACAAUAGGCUGAUCCACGUCCUCGAUUCGCUUUCCCAGCACUUGGUGCACCAGUGAGCUCGCCACUUCGGCCAUGGCCGCAGGAGAAAUGACGAAGCAAAAAAGCCGCUGAAAGAGAAGCUAGCUAGUUUAGAAGAAGAAGCUCCCAGUCAAGUAGAGCCGAUGAUUGAAAACGCUAACCCUCGUGUAAGAAAUGCUCGACCAAGAUGACACCGUUUCGACGUCGACGGGUUCGGAGCCAGCAAUGGCCAAAAAUGCCAAAACCACAAAAACUGGGUUUCCAAAAUCGUCAUCCAUGAUCCCAAGAUGGCUAUUGACGAAUCAAACCAUUCGCAUCGUGAACAGUUUAGUGUUCAGCUCGAAAAGAUUUGUUUGAGUCAGGGUAUAUUCGAUUCGAUAGACUCAUAAGUUGGCUCAAAUUCGAAUUCAAAAAUUAAUUCGAAUACUAACUCGAUAAUAUGAUUGAUCAAUAAACUCAAUAAUGCAACAUGCAUCUUACCUCAAAUAAGUGUCCAACCACUUGUCAUGCAAUCCCUAAUCAAAUUAUGACUUUAAAGAAGCAUUAACAUAUCCAAAAGUCCACCUAAACAUGGUAGAUUUUUGUCACCUGCUGAUUUUUACUUUUUUUUUAAAUUAAAGCAAUACAAAUUCUCCACACCAACUAAGAGACGCCACAUUUAUGAUAGUUAACGCAAUGAAACGAGAUUUACGAACAAAUUUGUCAACCAUUCCUAUUUUUUCUAACCCAAAUAAACUUUUAUACAUGGUUUCAUCUCAAUGAAAUUCUUACAUGAAGGUACCAUCCGGGCGAACUCUUUUGAAACAUCAAGCAUGCCUCCGCUGAUAGCAGUUGCGACCGGUUGGAUGCCGGUUUCGAAGAUGGCAUGGCCGUAUCCCACGCUACUUACCCGAUGCAUGCUUUCAAGCAAGGCUGCUGAGAUCUCCAACUGACGUACAUCCGCACUUCUAACGUCAAGUUUUCAAACCUUGCGUAGUUGCCUAAACAGAAGUAGAACAACACGGCGAGUGCGGAUGAACUAUAUACUGUAUUUAGAUGAUACUGAACAUAUUUACUUAUCACUCAUAUCACAGUCCCGGUGUACCUAUGAUUGGUUAGUUGCAAGUAUUGCUUUUCAGUAGAUUAUAGGCUACUCGAUGACUGUUAUUUCAAGUAUUGUUUUUCAGUUUUCCUCACUUGGACUGCAUGAUUAGGUUUGCAAACAAGAACACAAGAUAGGAAGUAGAAGAUCAGACUUGAAAUAGAACAUGUUAGAAAUGGGUAACUAGUACAAAAUCCAUCACGAUUAAUCUAUAAUCGUAGAGGUUCAAGGCUUUAACAUUCGAAUGUAUCUCCAAAACAACAACUUAAACAAAAGAAGGGGAAAGAAAGAACAGAGUAUCUCACCCUGUUUACCACCCUACAGAAAAUAUUCCCCUACUCUUGUUUGUUCUCUCCACAAUCUACUCCUAUUAUCUUCUUCUCUCUCAUCUCCCAGUUUUGAACUUUUCAAGGUGCCAAAAACAAAAGGAUGGAGAAAUUACAGUU
rnacentral:lncRNA from 1 species